rfam:Myotis lucifugus cont2.13324, whole genome shotgun sequence.
AGGCCUGGAGAGAGAAGCGGAGUCUGAUCCACAGCCUCCGUGGCAGCUUUUGAUCAGCCAUUGCCUCUCUCUUUCUAUCAG